UAGCAGCAAGGCUGAAGAAAAUCACUUACGAAAUGAAUUCUUAACCCCAAAUAAAUUCAAAUUCAAAUAGAGAACAUUCAUACUUGAAUACCUACCUUUAAUUUUUAAUUAAAAGUGCACUAAGUAUUUUAGAGAUUUCACCUUGCGUUAAUUAAAGAAAAUCCUCCAGCGGCUUCCAAAAUUAAAUCUGAGUUGCUUCAAUUAGCGGCAUGCUAAUUUAUUAUUACUGACUCUAAGUUUAAUUAAGAAAUUCGAUUACUCAAUUACUCUUAGAUAAUUAUAAGAAAUGUCCUAAAUUAGGUAGGCGAUCAAUCUAAUUAAUUUAGAGACAAAACUCUUUGAACAAGAAAAUUUAAUAACUCAAGAAUGCUAAAUCCGAAUUUAAACAAAUAAACCUUCAAAUUUCUUGUGCUAAGUUUCAUAAGUGUCUAACUGAGCUUAAUUAAUUUAGCCACUCAUAGCAAUCGAAACGAAACAAAAAUCAAUUGUAAACAGCAUAAAUUACAGACUGAAUCCUGGAAAAGAAAAAUCUUCAAAUCGUCGAGUUUCCCUUCUUUCGAUUAGCUGAAAUUCUGGGCUGUUACGUCAAUUUUUAUUCGGCUUUGCUGAUUCAAUUUCAGAUUUCCCUUUGCUCGAGUGCCACGCUUCUCUGCUGCUGUGUGUUCCUCUGUUUUUUCGACUCUUCCCUUUUUUUAGCUGCUGGUCACUUCUAUUUAAGGAGUAAUGAUAUUAACCUUCCAUAAUUCAAAUAAAAUUUGAUCUUAUCCCCCUUUAUCCUAGCUAAAACCGUCGCACAAGAAUAGCUCCAGCUCAUGUAGAGUUCCAUUUCAAUUUUACUUCUUAAAGCUGCACAUAAUCACUUGACUUUAAUUAAAGUCGGUCACCACUCCAAGAGGGAAGUUAAAUAAUUCCCUUGCUGAUUUUGCUGCAUAUUCGGUCUGCUGUUAUUUAAUUGGACCGAAUUUUGUUUUUUUGUUUGUCCAAUGCCAAUUUAAUUUCUUCAAAACCAGCAAAUGAUCAUUCCCAUCUAGCAGCUUUAAUCAUGC
rnacentral:lncRNA from 1 species